rnacentral:rRNA from 1 species
UGAGUUAAACGCCUGGAACCUGUCGUUGAUGGGGGAUAACGCUGGGAAACCGGCGCUAAUACCGCAUGUGGUUGGUGUGCGAGAGUGCACUAAAGAAAGGCCUUUCGGGGUCGCUCGAUGAGGGGCCUGCGUCCGAUUAGCUAGUUGGUGGGGUAAAGGCCUACCAAGGCGACGAUCGGUAGCUGGUCUGAGAGGAUGGUCAGCCACACUGGGACUGAGACACGGCCCAG